rnacentral:rRNA from 1 species
CCUACGUGAGGCAGCAGUGAGGAAUAUUGGUCAAUGGGCGGGAGCCUGAACCAGCCAAGUCGCGUGAGGGAAGAUGGUACUGUGGAUUGUAAACCUCUUUAGGCAGGGAGCAAUGCCGGGCACGCGUGCCCGGAGGGGGAGUACCCGAAGAAUAAGCAUCGGCUAACUCCGUGCCAGCAGCCGCGGUAAUACGGCGGAUGCAAGCGUUAUCCGGGUUUAUUGGGUUGAAAGGAUGCGGGGGCGGAGUUUUAAGUCAGCGGUAAAAUGUCCGGGCUCAACCCGGGCCGGCCGUUGAAACUGGGGAUCUUGAGUGGGCGAGAAGUAUGCGGAAUGCGUGGUGUAGCGGUGAAAUGCAUAGAUAUCACGCAGAACUCCGAUUGCGAAGGCAGCAUACCGGCGCCCGACUGACGCUGAGGCACGAAAGCGUGGGGAUCGAACAGGAUUAGAUACCCUUGUAGUC